rnacentral:lncRNA from 7 species
CGGCGCGGCGCGGCGGGAGAUCCGAGCGGGGCGGGCGGCUCCGUGCGGGCACCGCCCCGGGGGGGACAGGAGCGGAGCGGAGCGGUGCGGGCUUAAAAUGCUCUACGUGGCAGAGCUCCGUGUAAGAUGAGGCAGUGGCUGCUGCAGUAGAAUAGCUCCGUGCCGCCACCCCGCUGGGUGCAGUGAGCAGAGCUUAUAGCGGAGCUGUGCAAGUGCUGUACCUGAGACACGGGUUGUAGCUUUAGAAACAUCAUCCAUGGCAGCGACUCUGUAGAAAGCCCCCAGAAGGAGAUCAGCCUUUGGUUCAAACCUGCAGAGCUCAUCGACUACAGAUCGUGUGCACAUGUCCGGAUCUAUGAGCGAUGCCGGUUUCCAUAAUGAAUUGUGCCUUCUGAAUGCAUCAUCUCACUCCAGCUAAUGAUCUGGGAGCAAUUAGCACAGCGGUUAUCUUUACAGUUUUUCAGAACAGUCUGCUUAUAAAU